GGUUGCGUGGCCCAAUGGCAAGGCGCUUGACUACGAAUCAAGAGAUUCCAGGUUCGACCCCUGGCGUGAUCA
rfam:Aureobasidium pullulans var. melanogenum CBS 110374 unplaced genomic scaffold scaffold_8, whole genome shotgun sequence.